rnacentral:rRNA from 1 species
CUACGGGCGGCUGCAGUCGAGAAUCUUUCGCAAUGGGGGAAACCCUGACGAAGCGACGCCGCGUGGGCGAUGAAGGCCUUCGGGUUGUAAAGCCCUGUCACGAGGGAAGAAUACACGAUGGUUAACUACCGGAGUGUUUGACUGUACCUCGAGAGGAAGCCACGGCUAACUCCGUGCCAGCAGGCCGCGGUAAUACGGAGGUGGCAAGCGUUGUUCGGAUUCAUUGGGUGUAAAGGGCAUGGAGGCGGCCCCUUAAGUCGAUUGUGAAAUCCCUUGGCUUAACCAAGGAACUGCGUUCGAUACUGGGGGGCUUGAGUGCAGAAGAGGAGAGCGGAAUUCCCGGUGUAAGAGUGACAUCUGUAGAGAUCGGGAGGAACACCAGUGGCGAAGGCGGCUUUCUGGUCUGUAACUGACGCUGAAAUGCGAAAGCUAGGGGAGCAAACAGGAUUAGAUACCCGCGUAGUC